UCUGGUAUUGAUUGGUGCUUGCAUCAUGAUUUACAUUUGAGUGAGUGGCGAACUGGUGAGUAACACGUGGGAAACCUGCCCAGAAGCGGGGGAUAACACCUGGAAACAGAUGCUAAUACCGCAUAACAACUUGGACCGCAUGGUCCGAGUUUGAAAGAUGGCUUCGGCUAUCACUUUUGGAUGGUCCCGCGGCGUAUUAGCUAGAUGGUGGGGUAACGGCUCACCAUGGCAAUGAUACGUAGCCGACCUGAGAGGGUAAUCGGCCACAUUGGGACUGAGACACGGCCCAAACUCCUACGGGAGGCAGCAGUAGGGAAUCUUCCACAAUGGACGAAAGUCUGAUGGAGCAACGCCGCGUGAGUGAAGAAGGGUUUCGGCUCGUAAAACUCUGUUGUUAAAGAAGAACAUAUCUGAGAGUAACUGUUCAGGUAUUGACGGUAUUUAACCAGAAAGCCACGGCUAACUACGUGCCAGCAGCCGCGGUAAUACGUAGGUGGCAAGCGUUGUCCGGAUUUAUUGGGCGUAAAGCGAGCGCAGGCGGUUUUUUAAGUCUGAUGUGAAAGCCUUCGGCUCAACCGAAGAAGUGCAUCGGAAACUGGGAAACUUGAGUGCAGAAGAGGACAGUGGAACUCCAUGUGUAGCGGUGAAAUGCGUAGAUAUAUGGAAGAACACCAGUGGCGAAGGCGGCUGUCUGGUCUGUAACUGACGCUGAGGCUCGAAAGUAUGGGUAGCAAACAGGAUUAGAUACCCUGGUAGUCCAUACCGUAAACGAUGAAUGCUAAGUGUUGGAGGGUUUCCGCCCUUCAGUGCUGCAGCUAACGCAUUAAGCAUUCCGCCUGGGGAGUACGGCCGCAAGGCUGAAACUCAAAGGAAUUGACGGGGGCCCGCACAAGCGGUGGAGCAUGUGGUUUAAUUCGAAGCUACGCGAAGAACCUUACCAGGUCUUGACAUACUAUGCAAAUCUAAGAGAUUAGACGUUCCCUUCGGGGACAUGGAUACAGGUGGUGCAUGGUUGUCGUCAGCUCGUGUCGUGAGAUGUUGGGUUAAGUCCCGCAACGAGCGCAACCCUUAUUAUCAGUUGCCAGCAUUAAGUUGGGCACUCUGGUGAGACUGCCGGUGACAAACCGGAGGAAGGUGGGGAUGACGUCAAAUCAUCAUGCCCCUUAUGACCUGGGCUACACACGUGCUACAAUGGAUGGUACAACGAGUUGCGAACUCGCGAGAGUAAGCUAAUCUCUUAAAGCCAUUCUCAGUUCGGAUUGUAGGCUGCAACUCGCCUACAUGAAGUCGGAAUCGCUAGUAAUCGCGGAUCAGCAUGCCGCGGUGAAUACGUUCCCGGGCCUUGUACACACCGCCCGUCACACCAUGAGAGUUUGUAACACCCAAAGUCGGUGGGGU
rnacentral:rRNA from 2 species